rnacentral:rRNA from 1 species
GGGGCAGCAGGACUGUAGCAAUACAGUUGCUGGCGACCGGCAAACGGGUGCGGAACACGUACGCAACCUACCCAUAACUGGGGAAUAGCCCGGGGAAACCCGGAUUAAUACCCCGUAACAUAAUGAGAUGGCAUCAUCUUAUUAUUAUAGAUACGUCGGUUAUGGAUGGGCGUGCGCCUGAUUAGGUAGUUGGCGGAGUAAUAGCCCACCAAGCCUACGAUCAGUAACUGGUGUGAGAGCACGACCAGUCACACGGGCACUGAGACACGGGCCCGACUCCUACGGGAGGCAGCAGUAAGGAAUAUUGGUCAAUGGACGCAAGUCUGAACCAGCCAUGCCGCGUGAAGGAUGAAGGUCCUCUGGAUUGUAAACUUCUUUUAUAUGGGACGAAACCCUCGUUUUCUAACGGGAUUGACGGUACCAUAGGAAUAAGCACCGGCUAACUCCGUGCCAGCAGCCGCGGUAAUACGGAGGGUGCAAGCGUUAUCCGGAUUCACUGGGUUUAAAGGGUGCGUAGGAGGGCAGGUAAGUCAGUGGUGAAAUCCCCGAGCUUAACUUGGGAACUGCCGUUGAUACUAUCUGUCUUGAA